GAUGAACGCUGGCGGCGUGCUUAAUACAUGCAAGUCGAGCGAACAGACGAGGUGCUCGUGCUUCGUAUGUUAGCGGCGGACGGGUGAGUAACUCGUGGAUAACCUACCUAUCCAACUGAGAUAACUUCGCGAACCCGAGGCUAAUUACUGAUAACAUGUCCCACCUUUAUGCUUAUCAGUUUGAGACGGUCUUGCGGUCACUUAUAGAUGGAUGUGCGUCGCAUUAGCUAGUUGGUAAGGUAACGGCCCACCAAGCCAACGAUGCGUAGCCGAUCUGAGAGAGAGAUAGGCCACACUGAAACUGAGACACGUUCGAGACACCUACGGAAGGCAGCAGUAGGGAAUCUUCCGCGAUGGACGGAAGCCUGACGGAACAACGCCACGUGCGUGAGGAAGGUCUGCCGAUCGGAAAGCUCUGUUAUUAGAGAAGAAAAAAAAUGUAAGUAACUGUGCACGUCUUGACGGUACCUAAAGAGAAAGCAACGGCUAACUACGUG
rnacentral:rRNA from 1 species